rnacentral:tRNA from 1 species
AUUUAAAUAGUGUAAUUAUAACACUUAACAUUUUCAUUGUUACAAUCUUUUUAGUUUAAAUU